GUGGCCUAGUAGUUAAAACGUUCGCCUAGGAUGCGGAAGGUCGCUGGUUCCAACUCCGGCUGAGUCA